AACGAACGCUGGCGGCAUGCCUAACACAUGCAAGUCGAACGAGACCUUCGGGUCUAGUGGCGCACGGGUGCGUAACGCGUGGGAACCUGCCCUUAGGUUCGGAAUAACUCCCCGAAAGGGGUGCUAAUACCGGAUAAUGUCUUCGGACCAAAGAUUUAUCGCCUUUGGAUGGGCCCGCGUUGGAUUAGCUAGUUGGUAGGGUAAAAGCCUACCAAGGCGACGAUCCAUACCUGGUCUGAGAGGAUGAUCAGCCACACUGGGACUGAGACACGGCCCAGACUCCUACGGGAGGCAGCAGUGGGGAAUAUUGGACAAUGGGCGAAAGCCUGAUCCAGCAAUGCCGCGUGAGUGAUGAAGGCCUUAGGGUUGUAAAGCUCUUUUACCCGGGAUGAUAAUGACAGUACCGGGAGAAUAAGCUCCGGCUAACUCCGUG
rnacentral:rRNA from 1 species